UUUAACCAACCGUCUCUGCCUCGACACAGAACUUUAAGCGAAAUACAAAUGUCGUGUUUUCAGUUAUUUUACUCUGAAACAUGAGUCUGCCAAAGUACGUGCUUGUGUACUUCUCUGAAGAUGAAAUUCCUGCCACAUGUGUUAUUGAGUCAGUGCUUAUUGAAGGUCAAAAGAAUCUGACAAGAUCUCAUCGACGGCUAAACUGUUGUCGUCAACUUACAGUGAGAAAUGAAGAAAAGACGCUCGUCAUGCCCUGCUAAGCAACUGAAGUUCGAUGGAAAAUGGCCACAUGUGAAGGAGGGCUGCUGAGGUAGAGAGAGUCUCAGUGUAUUUGCCUUCAUUCACAUCAGCACAAAAGGAUCGGUCGCCCAUAUUCAAGUUUAUAAUAGUGGCAACAAGUUUGACAUUUAGUACACUGCUCCACAACCAGAUUCACAGAACGUCAAUGUUUUUGUAGCCCAUAUCCUAAAUCAAUUGAAUUCUGGUGCUGACAAUAUCUAUUCAUUCAUCCACCUUUGUGCCCACUCGCCCACCUCUGUAUGCUUAAAGCCCUGACUGUUAUAAAAUUUUGUUGGGUGUGUUCACCUGAGCUACUUUGCAAAAUAGAUGUACUGCAGCAUAAAAUAAAGAAGUUAAAGAGAGAGAACAUCUGUCUGAGGCAGUGCAUUAGUGCAGGUGAAGAUCGUUUUCAGUUGCUGCUACUAUUAAAAAAAACAUUCAUAGAGUUUAAUACCAUAUUGCAGCCAGGAGAGUUGCACUAAGAGACUGUAAGAAAAGUGCUCUUCCCAAGUAAAAGAUUUAAUCUGACCAGUCAAACCAGCUGCUGACUCACAAUCAGAGCCAUAACAGGUGGAGAAUGCAGAGACGCCCUGAAUUACUACCUAACUAUUUGUUUUUCCCCCCAUUUUCUAUUUAUUCAUUUACAUUAGAAUUUAUAUAUAUUUUUUCCAUUUUCCAUUGAUUAAUUUAAAUUAAUUGCUUGAUAAUAAUAACAUAUAAUAAAUACAAUAUAUUCUAACUGAUUUUAUUUCAUUUUAUAAUGGAUAGAAAA